GUAACGAGCGCAACCCUUGUCCUUAGUUACCAGCACGUUAUGGUGGGCACUCUAAGGAGACUGCCGGUGACAAACCGGAGGAAGGUGGGGAUGACGUCAAGUCAUCAUGGCCCUUACGGCCUGGGCUACACACGUGCUACAAUGGUCGGUACAAAGGGUUGCCAAGCCGCGAGGUGGAGCUAAUCCCAUAAAACCGAUCGUAGUCCGGAUCGCAGUCUGCAACUCGACUGCGUGAAGUCGGAAUCGCUAGUAAUCGUGAAUCAGAAUGUCACGGUGAAUACGUUCCCGGGCCUU
rnacentral:rRNA from 2 species